GCCAGUGUGGUGUAGUGGUUUGAAUGUUGGAUUAUGACUCUGGAGAGUAGGGUUCGAUUCCCAGUACAGUCA